ACUCGGAGCCCUAGCCGUCGUAGUCGAAUUCGAGAUCCAACCAAGCCUCCCUUAAUCUCUCAAGGUAUUUUACAAAGAGUCGUCUUGAAUAAAUAUGAUGAAGAAGGCUACGCCGGAGGAGGCUGGGACUUUAACAAAGGUCUUCUGGGACAUCAAGAUGUGUCCGGUUCCCGAUGGGUAUUAUUCUCUUCUGGUCCGUCCGUGUAUUAAGCGGUUUUUGGAGAAUAAUGGCUACUAUGGUCCUCUCACCGUCACUGCCUAUGGCAAACUAGGCGACGUCCCUAUUGACAUGCUCAGAGGAGUCUUUGCCAGUGGAAUCGAUCUUAAGCUUCAACCUACUGAGGCCUUUUCCAAUUAAAUCUCUUGAGUUAUUUUCUUGGUCAGACUCGGUGGAACUUGAGGAUUUUAAGUGCAGUGAUUCUCCCCGUUCGUUUUGCUCAGUAUGCAACCAGGAAUUUCGUCGCCAGAAUAUUUUCAUCAAACAUUUGUCUAAACCAUUCCAUCAACAGAAGUUGUCGAAGCUGUUGCCUUUAAGUCAUGAACUUCGAAGCUUCAGUGCACCACUAUGUGAUCUUGUUAAGCAAAACCCGGAGGAUGUAACAUCGGUCUUUUGGGACAUAAAGACGUAUCCGGUUCCACGUGACUGUGAUCCUCGUCGGGUCGGUCCAUGUAUCAAACAGUUCUUGAAGGAAAAAAGGCUACUCUGGCCCUCUCACCAUCACUGCCAUUGGCGUACUAACAGACGUCCCUAAUGACAUUCUGGAAGGAGUCUAUUCCAGUGGAGUCUCUCUUAAUAACAUUUGCAGCUGUUAGGAAAUUCUCAUCGUUGCGCCUUUCUCAUGAAUGGAUGUUUUAAUUGUUGUUGAA